rnacentral:lncRNA from 1 species
GAAACUGUGACUAGGAAUCAUGAAUCUUCCACUGUGCCAUUAUUGCAGAUGCUUGUUUCCUGUCUUAUCUUAAAGCCAAAAAUACUUAGGGCUGGUUGAAGCUUACUUUGCUUUGUGAGUUUGAUGUUGAUCUGAGCCCAAGACUGCAGUUUCCAGUACAAGCUUGUAGGUGGUGCAUUACACUAUUGGGUAGAGUAGAGAUCAGGAGAGAGAAACAGAGAGAACAUCUCUGAGAAGAGAGAUAGGUCCUAAGAUAAAUUAGAAAAUACCCAAGUUUCAAGAAAAUGGAACAAUGCAGAACAGGGGGAAUCCUAGUGAGGAAUUACUUGGUGCCUCUGCUUUACUAUAAGUAGACAUUUUUCCCAGCAGCCCCUGUAGGAGGACCAGACUUGGUAUGAUGGCUGGGUCCCAAUUGCCAAUUUAAGUCUUUGUAAUGCAGUCUUAGAGCAGGAGAGAGACAUAAGGCAAUAUUUCUUGUCUGCUUACUCUGUGCCAUAUGUUGUCCUUGGUACAAUCUCUUAUAAUUACCAAAACUCUAAAGCCAGAUAAUUGAUAUUAUUCCCAUUUUAUAGGUGAAGGAGGUGAAGCUCAAAGGCAAAAAAAAAAAAAAAAAAAAAAAAGAAAAAGAAGCAG